rnacentral:rRNA from 1 species
CCCUUCGGGGACAUUGGUGACAGGUGGUGCAUGGUUGUCGUCAGCUCGUGUCGUGAGAUGUUGGGUUAAGUCCCGCAACGAGCGCAACCCUUGUCUUUAGUUGCCAGCAUUAAGUUGGGCACUCUAGGGAGACUGCCAGGGAUAACCUGGAGGAAGGUGGGGAUGACGUCAAAUCAUCAUGCCCCUUAUGCUUAGGGCUACACACGUGCUACAAUGGGUAGUACAGAGGGUUGC